rnacentral:rRNA from 1 species
UACGUAGGGGGCAAGCGUUGUCCGGAAUCAUUGGGCGUAAAGAGCGUGUAGGUGGCUCGGUAAGUCCGCUGUGAAAGUCCAGGGCUCAACCCUGGAAAGCCGGUGGAAACUGUCGAGCUCGAGUCCGGAAGAGGCGAGUGGAAUUCCCGGUGUAGCAGUGAAAUGCGUAGAGAUCGGGAGGAACAUCAGUUGCGAAGGCGGCUCUCUGGACCAGCACUGACACUGAGGCACGAAAGCGUGGGGAGCAAACAGG